rnacentral:lncRNA from 10 species
CCACCACCAUGCCCAGAUGAGAGGGUGCACAGAGGCACAUAUACAGCGGAGGCGGCCACGUGGAGACAGAGGUGAAGACUGGAGUGGUGCAGCCAGGGAACUGCCAAGGUGCCAGGAGCCACCAGGAGCUGCAAGAGGCAAAAGAAGAUUCUUCCCCACAGAGGGAGCAGAGCACCGCAGACAGGUUGAUUUCAGGCUUCUGGCCUUUAGGACUGUGAAAGGAGACGGUUCCACUGUUUUAAGUCACCCAGUAGAAGGUCAUUCAUUAUGGCAUCCCCAGUACACGAAGAGUCUGGCUUCAUGAUUGGUCUAGGUUGGUGAAGGAGGACACGGGGUCCUCUGAGGCCAUUGUGGUGGCACUGAGUAGCCCAAGGGACCCUUUUCAGCAUCAGAAUGGUGGGAAGUGGUGUGCAGACCAAAGCCGCGAACACGCAGAGUGGGAGGACUGGGGUCUAGCAGCCUGCUGGGAGGGCCUGUCCAACCAAAGACCUUUUGAUCUACAAAUUUUUUUUUUUUUUUCGAGACGAAGUCUCGCUGUGUCACCCAGGCUGGAGUGCAGUGGCGCAAUCUCAGCUCAGUGUAACCUCUGCUUCCCAUGUUCAAGAGAUUCUCCUGCCUCAGCUUCUUGAGUAGCUGGGAUUACAGGCACAAGUCACCACACCCAGCUAAUUUUUGUAUUUUUUGGUAGAGAUGGGGUUUCUCUGUAUUGGCCAGGCUGGUCGCGAACUCCUGGCCUCAAGUGAUCAGCCUGCCUCUGCCUCCCGACGUGCUGGGAUUACAGAUGCGAGCCACCGCACCCAGCCAAUUUACAAAUAUUUUGAAAAUGCUACUUAUGAAUGGCCCAAUAAUUUUACUUCUAGGAGUUUAUCUUAAGGAAAAAAUAAAAAAUUCAGAUGAAACCUUAUCCCCCUAGAUGUUUAUCAAGACACUAUUUUUUUUUUCCAGGGGGUGCGAUCUUGCUCUGUUGCCCAGGCUGGAAUACAGUGGUGUGAUCAUGGCUCACUGCAGCUGGAACCUCCCAGGCUCCAGCAAUCCUCCCACCUCCCAAGUAGCUGGGAUCACAGGCCCGCGCCACCGCAUAUGCCCAGCUAUUUGUAUUUUUAGUAGAGACAGGGUUUUGCCAUGUUGCCCAGGCUGGUCUCGAACUCCUGGACUCAAGCAAUCCUCCCGCCUCAGCGCCUGGCCCAAGACACUUUUUUUGUUUUUUUUUGAGAUGGAGUCUUGCUCUGUCACCCAGGCUGGAGUGCAAUGGCACGAUCUCGGCUCACCGCAACGUCUGCCUCCUGGGUUCAAGUGAUUCUCCUGCCUUAGCCUCCCAAGUAGCUGGGAUUACAGGCACCCAUUACCAUGCCUGGCUAAUCCAAGACACUAUUUAUAAGAAAACCUAGAACCAGUCUACACAUCCAAUAGUGAGGAAAUGAUUAGAUGAAUUACAGUACAUCCACAAGAUGGAUUACUAAACAGACAUUGGCAUGAUUUAUGAAGAGUGUUUAAUGUUUACAAAGAGCUUUUAAUGAUGUGGAAGAUGGUGGUAUAAUAAGUAGGAAAAAACUGGUUAUA